AGGCGCGAAACCUUUACAAUGCACGAAAGUGUGAUAAGGGGACCCUAAGUGACGAUGCUUUGCAUCAUCUUUUGCCAAGAGCAAAUAUCUUGGCGAAUAAGUGGUGGGCAGUACCUGUGCCAGCCGCCGCGGUAACCCAGGAGCCACAAGUGGCAACCACCUUUAUUGGGCCUAAAGCGUCCGUAGCCUGUCUUGUAAAUUUUCUGUGAAAUCGUUGCGCUUAACGUAACGGCGUGCAGAAAACACUGCAGGACUAGGGACCGGGAGGGGUCAGGGGUAUUUCUGGGGGAGCGGUAAAAUGCUAUAAUCCCAGAAGGACCACCUGUGGCGAAGGCGCCUGACCAGAACGGAUCCGACGGUGAGGGACGAAAGCUAGGGGAGCAAUCCGGAUUAGAUACCCGAGUAGUCCUAGCUGUAAACUCUGCGAGCUAGGUGUUGCGUAAUCUUAGGGAUUACGUGGUGUCGUAGUGAAGAUGAUAAGCUCGCCGCCUGGGGAGUACGGUCGCAAGGCUGAAACUUAAAGGAAUUGGCGGGGGAGGAC
rnacentral:rRNA from 1 species